AUUGAACGCUGGCGGUAGGCCUAACACAUGCAAGUCGAACGAGCGGCGGACGGGUGCGUAAUGUCUGGGAAACUGCCUGAUGGAGGGGGAUAACUACUGGGAACGGUAGCUAAUACCGCAUACCAUCGGAUGUGCCCAGAUGGGAUUAGGUAGUAGGUGGGGUAAAGGCACACCUAGGCGACGAUCCCUAGCUGGUCUGAGAGGAUGACCAGCCACACGGGAAGUUAGACACGGUCCAGACUCCUACGUGAGGCAGCAGUGGGGAAUAUUGCACAAUGGGCGCAAGCCUGAUGCAGCCAUGCCGCGUGUAUGAAGAAGGCCUUCGGUUUGUAAAGUACUUUCAGCGGGGAGGCGUUACCCGCAGAAGAAGCACCGGCUAACUCCGUGCCAGCCGCCGCGGUAAUAC
rnacentral:rRNA from 1 species